rnacentral:rRNA from 1 species
GAUGAACGCUGGCGGCGUGCCUAACACAUGCAAGUCGAGCGAGUGAAUCUCCUUCGGGAGUGAGGCUAGCGGCGGACGGGUGAGUAACACGUGGGCGACCUGCCUCAUAGAAGGGAAUAGCCUUCCGAAAGGAAGAUUAAUACCGCAUAAGAUUGUAGCUUCGCAUGAAGUAGCAAUUAAAGGAGCAAUCCGCUAUGAGAUGGGCCCGCGGCGCAUUAGCUAGUUGGUGAGGUAACGGCUCACCAAGGCGACGAUGCGUAGCCGACCUGAGAGGGUGAUCGGCCACAUUGGGACUGAGACACGGCCCAGACUCCUACGGGAGGCAGCAGUGGGGAAUAUUGCACAAUGGGGGAAACCCUGAUGCAGCAACGCCGCGUGAGUGAUGACGGCCUUCGGGUUGUAAAGCUCUGUCUUCAGGGACGAUAAUGACGGUACCUGAGGAGGAAGCCACGGCUAACUACGUGCCAGCCGCCGCCGUAA